GAAGACCCUUCCCUGAUCCUUACCAUGCCUCAUUACAUACUGCAGAGAGCAGCCUUGCUACUACUGAGCCAAGCAGACCUGCUCUACCACCACUUGGACUAUUUGUAGUCCGAGGGUUCCCACACUUGGCACAGUCUGGGAAAGGGCUAGCCGGCAGAUCGUCUCUGGCACUGCAUCAUUUAUUGUAUUGUACCUUCAGUACAAGGUUCCCUUCCUCUUAUAAGUGCUAGUAAAUUCUACUACUACUUCUGUCCAUACUCAUACUAGUGUCAUACUCAUAGUGUUAUAGUGUCCAUACCACUAGUUCCAAAAUAACUAAAUACCAAAACUCAAGAGCUUGCCUCCUGUUCUUCAGAGUUGUAGGCAGAAAAUGAUGAUAUUCUUUCCCGUAACAGGCAGAGAGAACCAGACAAUGAAAUUAGAAGUACAAGACAUUAAAAUGUGUUUAAAGUCAUCAGAGCAUUGUAAAAUUAUAGCUUCUGACUUUAGACUGUGUGACCUUUUUGAUGUCUGCUGAAAUGAGAACCAAUGUUACUGACUCUGAAAGCAACCGUGUGGCAUAAUGGGAAUUCUAUCUCCAGUACAGUUUACUUCUGGCUUCUUUUGCAAAUGAUCCUCAUAUGAAAAUAUCUACAAUUACAGUAGUUACUUUACAAGAAAAGCCUUUUGGACUGUAAAGAAUGGCCUUUGUCAGCUACUUGAGAAAAC
rnacentral:lncRNA from 1 species